GGGGAAUAUUGCACAAUGGGGGAAACCCUGAUGCAGCGACGCCGCGUGAGCGAUGAAGUAUUUCGGUAUGUAAAGCUCUAUCAGCAGGGAAGAAAAUGACGGUACCUGACUAAGAAGCACCGGCUAAAUACGUGCCAGCAGCCGCGGUAAUACGUAUGGUGCAAGCGUUAUCCGGAUUUACUGGGUGUAAAGGGAGCGUAGACGGAGUGGCAAGUCUGAUGUGAAAACCCGGGGCUCAACCCCGGGACUGCAUUGGAAACUGUCAAUCUGGAGUACCGGAGAGGUAAGCGGAAUUCCUAGUGUAGCGGUGAAAUGCGUAGAUAUUAGGAGGAACACCAGUGGCGAAGGCGGCUUACUGGACGGUAACUGACGUUGAGGCUCGAAAGCGUGGGGAGCAAAC
rnacentral:rRNA from 1 species